ACGCUCGACACCUAGGGAGCAGCAGUGGGGAAUAUUGCACAAUGGAGGAAACUCUGAUGCAGCGAUGCCGCGUGAGGGAAGAAGGUUUUCGGAUUGUAAACCUCUGUCUUUGGGGACGAUAAUGACGGUACCCAAGGAGGAAGCUCCGGCUAACUACGUGCCAGCAGCCGCGGUAAUCUGAGCGGGCUGGCAAGGC
rnacentral:rRNA from 1 species